rnacentral:rRNA from 1 species
GUGCCAGCCGCCGCGGUAAUACGAAGGGGGCUAGCGUUGCUCGGAAUUACUGGGCGUAAAGGGCGCGUAGGCGGCCCUGCAAGUCAGGCGUGAAAUUCCCGGGCUCAACCUGGGGGCUGCGCUUGAGACUGUGGGGCUAGAGGCCGAGAGAGGGUGGUGGAAUUCCCAGUGUAGAGGUGAAAUUCGUAGAUAUUGGGAAGAACACCGGUGGCGAAGGCGGCCACCUGGCUCGGUACUGACGCUGAGGCGCGACAGCGUGGGGAGCAAACAGGAUUAGAUACCCUGGUAGUCCACGCCGUAAACGAUGUGCGCUGAAUGUUGGGGUUCCUAGAACCUCAGUGUUGUAGCUAACGCGGUAAGCGCACCGCCUGGGGAGUACGGCCGCAAGGUUGAAACUCAAAUAAAUUGACGG